rnacentral:rRNA from 1 species
UGCCCAAGAGAUCGGGAUAACACCUGGAAACAGAUGCUAAUACCGGAUAACAACAGAUGAUGCCUAUCAACUGUUUAAAAGAUGGUUCUGCUAUCACUCUUGGAUGGACCUGCGGUGCAUUAGCUAGUUGGUAGGGUAACGGCCUACCAAGGCGAUGAUGCAUAGCCGAGUUGAGAGACUGAUCGGCCACAUUGAGACUGAGACACGGCCCAAACUCCUACGGGAGGCAGCAGCC